AUUGAACGCUGGCGGCAUGCCUUACACAUGCAAGUCGAACGGUAACAGGUCUUCGGAUGCUGACGAGUGGCGAACGGGUGAGUAAUACAUCGGAACGUGCCCGAUCGUGGGGGAUAACGAAGCGAAAGCUUUGCUAAUACCGCAUACGAUCUACGGAUGAAAGCAGGGGACCGCAAGGCCUUGCGCGAACGGAGCGGCCGAUGGCAGAUUAGGUAGUUGGUGGGAUAAAAGCUUACCAAGCCGACGAUCUGUAGCUGGUCUGAGAGGACGACCAGCCACACGGGGACUGAGACACGGCCGAGACUCCUACGGGAGGCAGCAGUGGGGAAUUUUGGACAAUGGGCGAAAGCCUGAUCCAGCCAUGCCGCGUGCAGGAUGAAGGCCUUCGGGUUGUAAACUGCUUUUGUACGGAACGAAAAGACUCUGGUUAAUACCUGGGGUCCAUGACGGUACCGUAAGAAUAAGCACCGGCUAACUACGUGCCAGCAGCCGCCGUAACAC
rnacentral:rRNA from 1 species